UGCAGCGCCGCCACGUUGUGAACCGUGAUCUCGAAGUUAACGCCGUAACAGAACUUCGCCGCUUUCUCAAAAGCUUCUGAUCCUCCAGGUAUGUCGGAAAUCUCUAUUCUUGUUAGGUCACUCUCCUCUGAUUCCAUUAUCACUUUUCUGACGUAGUUACUCUUCGCCGCCAGAAUAAACUGUAAUAACAUAUUCCAUACUUAAUUAAAUUUUAACACACAAAAUCAUGCACAAAGAAUAAUCACGAUCAAUCACGAACCACGAACCACGAAUAUACGAACAAGUUAUCAACAAAAUAUACAACAAUAUAUGUUGGUACCUUGUGGAGAGAAAAAUUGGUUUGUCCAACUGCAACAAUAACAUCGGUGGGGAUUUCUGGGGAGAAAACCCUGCAAUAACAAUUGAUACAUGAAAUUGAUUCUUAUAAGAACUAUAGCAUAAACACAUUUGAUUAACUGAUUCAUGAAGUUGUGCAAUGGAGAAGAAUGGAAUAAUUGAUUAAGCUUGAGAUUGAAAAUGAAGGAGUGGUGUGGGUGUUUACCAUUGCCCGGUUCUCUCCAUGGCAAGGGAGAAUCUGGUGGGGUUGGGGGUUGCCAUGAGCUGAUGUAGUUGGUUUUUUCGUGGUCUGAAUUGGAUUAGGGGUUUGAGAGUAACAGCAUGUUAUUAUAUGGUGUUCUUAGCUGUUGUUAUAAGGGGAUUUUUGAUCCCUGUUAUGAUUGUUAUCUUGUCAUGAGUUGAGUUUGUGACUGUGGUCCAUGUCUGUCAUGUUUUCUUUUUCCUCACUUGUUGUUAUCUUAUUUAUCCUUCCAUUAAAGUGAUUCCUUUUUGAGCUGAGAGUGUCAUACUUACCAUAAAUCUUUAGGACAGUUCAUAUUUUUUUUUUAUUCGAAAAGGGAGUAAGACUGUUAAUAGAUAUGAAGAGAAAAAACAAAAGUGAGCAUGCAUGUGAUCAAAUAGUUAAUUUGACAAGAUAAGGGAAAAAAGUAAAUUAUGAAGGUGCUAUAAAAAUGGGUAACAUAUGAUUUUUGCCCCAUCAAAAUAUUUUACAACAUUAAUUUUAGUUUCUAUAUAAAAAUUUAAUACUUUUACUCCUUAUUUACUUAAAGUAAUUUUAGUUCUUCAUCAUGGACUAAAAGCAUAUGUUUUUACCUUCUAAAUGAAUAAAAGAAAUAAAAAUAUAUUAAAUCUUUAUAAGGACUAUAAUUAACAUUAAAAAAAUAUUUAGAGAAACUAAAACACACUUUAUCCUAUAAAAAUUUAUUAUAUAGGAUAAUGGUGUCUUUAAUUUUCCAAUUUUAGAAAACAUUAUUUGGUGAUUCAGAUAAUAAUUAUAAUCUUAAAUAAUUUCUACGCAACAUCUAAUUACGUAUUAUUAAUUCUUCUUCAUAAUUGUAACUUGGAUAGAUGUCACAUAAAAGAUUAAAAUCAUUAACACAAAAUAGUGUAAGAUUAUCUAAUAAUUUUUCAGUAUGUAUUUUAGUUAACGGUCACAGUCAGGGACACAAUAUUCAGCAAUAAGUCCGAUGCUAGGUGCAGCUUGUGAGAAGUAACCAUUUGCCGUUUUGAACUCAACGCAUGUUCAUACUUCAUAGGCUAUGGACCGCAAAGCCGAACCAUACGGUUAAUCCGCUAGCUAGCUGCUUCCAUGCAAGUGGGAAGUUUGAAAUUGACAUUUAACAACGACAGUUUUUUUGGUAGCUACUCAAAAUUUUUGUUCUGCUCUUUGACUGAGGUUAUCUUACUUUCUUACCUGUUUCCAUUUUCUUCAAUCUGCAUUAAUUUUCCGUUUUUAAACUUACAGAAAUUGAUUCUUUAAAGUUUAGGUUUAAUUCCGGCGUGUAGCUUUUCUUCACAUAAUUUUGCAUAUGGGAGCUUGGAAAUUAAAUGAUACAGUUUGUUCAAUACUGCUUGCCUAAAUUAGAGUACACACGGGCUGGUUUACUAGUUAUUACUGAUUCAAAAAAGAUAAAUGAAUGUUUUUUUAUUAACAAAUAAAACAAAGAAAAACAUUAGGGAAUUCCAUUGUUGAAGCUUCAAAUAAAAACGCUAUUGAUUGCCGAAAGUUGGUGGUUGUCAAUAUAGGCACACACACACAAGAAAGGAAAAAAAGACGAAAAGAAAAAACCCUUGCAUACAUAUUAUUUCGGGGAGUCAUUUCAUUCAUUAAGUCCUUGCGACAACAUUAUCUAUUUUCGUUUUACCAUCUCCAUCUUGUUAGAUUUUGUCUUUAAUACUCUGUUAUUAUGCUUCGUUAUUUCACCUCCUCAAUAAUGAGCUAAUAACUGAUAUGAUUUUGAGGUUAAGCUUUAAACUAAUCAUUGAGGGAGCAAAUAAUAACAAAACAUGAGUUCACUUUAAUCAUGUGCCAUCGGUUUAUGGACUCGCACGUAAUGUAACACGUCUUAAGAUAAUGCCCACCUCAUCAUGAAUUUAAAACAUUGAGUGUGACAAAAUGUUCCUCUCGUUAAUUAUCCUAGCUCGAUGAAGUAUCAAAAGUGAUAAAAAGAAAAUAUGUAAACCAAAAGCAAUUAAAUGUAGGCCAGCAGUCUGGAGCUUGAUGUUAUAUGUUCAAAUUUAAUGUCAGGAAAAGAAAAUUCAUACCAAUUCUUGAGCACCAUAUAAAACUCAAAGCUAAAAACAACAACGCAGUAGAGAGAUCUAGCUUAAUUUGCAAGGAAACUUAGAAAGAAGAUAUAUAUUCAGAAAAUAUUAUUUUAAAAUAUAAACAAAAAAAAAUGAAAAAAUUAUAUUUAUAUUUCCUUUAAACUUAAUUUUUGGUCGAUCAUAUAUAUACCUAUUAGUUAUUAGUUCUAUAAUACAUUCUGGCUACUAGCUACUUAAAAUUACCAUACAAGAUUUUGGAAUUUUAUCAAAUUACUAUAUAUGUGCAUGCAUGUAUAUAUAAUAUGUGAUCUUCCUAUACUUACAAAAAUAUAGUAUAUAUAGAAUUAAAAGUUGUAAAUUUAAGUGAUUAGGAGCAAUAUACGUACAAAAUUAUAUAUAUAUAUAUAUAUAUAUAUAUAUAUAUAUAUAUAUAUAUAUAUAUAUAUAUAUAUAUAUUCCUUAUAUCAGUAAAUCUAAAGAUCUUAUAAAAAAAUUAUAAAAUCAAAAUAUUAAUAGAUCGUUUAAAACAAUUGAAUCUAAUUAGAAUUAGUUUUAAAUAUACCAACAUGAAUUAAUCAUAUAAUUACUCCAUCCACUUUCUCUCUCUUUAUUAAUUUUUUAAAUUAUCAUAUCAUUAAUAAAAUUUAUCAUUUUCUCUUUUCUUUUUAUCUCUCUUUUUCUAAAGGAUGUGAACACUUUAAUUUAAACCUAACAUGAGAUUAGGGAUCCAUUCGUUUUAUUGUUUUAAAUCGUUCUAUUGAUUAAGGAUCCAUUAAUUAGUUUUAAACCUAACUAUAUAUAGUUAAAUUUUUAAAUCAUUCUAAGUGAUUAUACUAUGCACAUUAAAAUCAAUUCAACCCUAAGUUUAACAUUUAGAAAAUUCAAGACACAAUUAAAAAAUAAUAAUGAAGCAUUCGGUGGAAGAUGGCGAUGGGACGUGAAGUGCAUGGGAUGGGAGCUAGGAAUUGAAACGGGAACAUGCAAAUGCAUGUAUCAGGUUGAAUUGUGAACGCAACAAAUUGUUUGUUGAGUUAGGGCAGCGUGUCUCCGCCACUCAAUCAAACGAGUGGCUGUGAUGCUUCAAUAUCGACAGCAUCUCUGAUACUAGGAUACAGAUCCGCCACGUCAUCCUUUCACUCCACCUUGUCUCCGUGGGUCUCCACCAUCUUUCUUAUCCAUUAUUAAUUAUUAUCAUAUUUAUACACCGUUUUUCUUAUAUGAUUUUUAGAGAUGUGAUUGGAUGAAAUUCUUCCUGACACUCUCUUAUUGGAUGGUAAUUAUUAAAAACUAUCAAUUUUGGAGUAGUAAUAUUCAUUAAAAUUGAUGAUGUUUUAUAAAUUUUAAUAAAUCACAAAGUAUAGAAUAGAUAGUGUUAUUAGUAUUUCUCAUACAUAAUAAUUUAAUUUAAAAAAUAUUUUUUAUAUACUAUUAUUUAAUCACAAAAUAUUAUAUAUAUAUAUAUAUAUAUAUAUAAAUUUAUUAAAUUUUAUAAUAAUUAUCUUAUAACUAUCUUAAAAAUUAUAAUAACUAUGAUUUUUGAUUGAUUGUGUAUACUACGUACCAAUAUAUAUGAUUAUUACCGAUUCAUAAAUAAUUUAUAAUAGUACAAUAUUAUUUUUUUGUGUUUCUUCUCAAAAAAGUAAAGAGAAAAGUUAAAGGUGGAAUGAGCGUGUUUUUUUCAAGAAAAAAAACUCAAAUUGUUCUCAUUAUAUAUAUAUAUAUAUAUAUAUAUAUAUAUUCAGUUACUACACAACUAAAUAAUAGUAAAAAAGUAUUUUUUUCUUUCAUUUUUUCCUAUACUAAAAACCAUUUUGUUAUUUUUUUUCAUUUUCCUUUUCACUUUCUAUCUUAAACUAAAUAUACUUUGUCCGUAUUGAAUUAGUUUUUUUAGGAUAUAUUUUUCAAUUUCUAACAUAGUUUCUCUUAUUUUGAAGGAGUAAAAAACAGUAAAGAGAGAAAAAAGUGGCUAAAACGAAAAAUCAAGUGCGAUUGAUUUUGACAUACAAGCAAAACUCCAAAAUAACAUUAAUUACAAUUGAAAAAAAAGCAACUACAACCAAAACACAUAUAAGAGAUUGGACGUGACUUUGUAUAUUGUCUAUUUUACACACAUGUAUAUAUAUAUAUAUAUAUAUAUACUACUAAUAUAUUAUAUAUGUGACUAGUAAGAAUAUGGUGAUAGUAACAAUGACGAUAAUGUCAAUAAUAAUUAUGAUAGUGAUAGUUUCAAUGAUUAUGACGAUAAUAAUAGUAAUGACAACCAUGAUGAUCAUCAAUGUUAUAUUUGUUGUUUUCGUCAGUCAUAAUGAUAGGGGUAACAAUGAUGAUAAUCAAAUAUAUGAUAAUAAUCAUUGUGGUCAUAAUUAAUGAUGAUAACAAUAACAAUUAUGACACCAAUAAAGAUUAUGAUGAUAGCAGUGAACUAGUGGUCAUCACCAUCAUUAUGACCAUUUUUCUUGCCACAAUCACCGUUCUCGUUGUCACAUGGGUUAAUUACGUACUUAAAGAAAAGUCAUGAUAUUUUAGAUCAUAAUAAUUUAGAUCUUUUCCAUAGAUUUCAUUUUUUUUAGUGAAUCUUUGGAGAUUUAAUGGUGGAUGUGAGGGUUUUAUGUUAGGAUAGUUAAUGCUCUCACAAACAAAAUUAUUCACACCCACAAAGAUCGUGAGAACACAACAAAUAUUACAUCGUAUAAAAAAUAAUAAAAAACACAAGAAUUUAGGCACCUCUUGCCUAUGUCCAUGAAACCGUCUCAAAAAUAUUUUACUAUCACAAAAAUAAUUAUAAGAUUGUAAUUCACCCAAACUGUGUAUUAUUCUACAAAUCCGAGUAACUCACUCAAUGAUUACAAGAAAUAAUAACACUCUCACAUAAAGAUACUUUGCUUCACAAUAUCUCUUCAAACACACUCUCUCUCCAUGCGAUUUUUCUUCACUAAAUCUCUUCUCUAUUUAUAGUGAAAAUUGUCAUCAACUAUAAUAAAUAAGUUCUUUUAAAAGUUGAAACAAAAAUAACUUUCAAUGCAUUCAUUUAACUAAGGUUCAUCUAGUAAAAUACAAUAUUUCACUUUGCAUUUAAGCUACCUAAACCUUAGUGAUAAAAAUUAAUUCCUAAUAUACAUGCACUUUAUCUUUUGACUUGAAACUCUACAUUUUAAUACAUUCUUAAAUAAGUUUUUUAUAUAAAUUAUCUAUUUUAAUUUGACUGUAAUUAUUAAAUGUUUUCACCUCUCACAAUUAGACACUUUCCUUGCAUUAAAAAAAAAAGUUUGACCAACCUGAAAAGUCUACCACUUGCAUUGUCAUGAUUUGAUUGUGUUCAAAUAGGUGUGAAAUGAGAAUUUUUUAUUAUUAUUUAGUGAGAAUCCACACUUCUUUCUCUUUACUUUAAUUUAAAUAUUUAUUCUCUAUUUGAUAUUUGAUUUUUUUUCAUUCUUUUCCACUGAACCAUAUUCACUUAUAGGGUUGGGUUUAGGCAACAAUUUAGAAUAUUGAAUUGAAUAAAGGUUUUUCUUAGCCCUGAUGGAUGUAACCUGCAACCCACAUAAGCUAACCCGCCUUGCAUUGGGUUGGUGGUCAACAACAUGCCCUCAAAGAUUGUGGCUUAGCAAGGUAUGUGUGGUUACUCCCCUUUCUUAAGAUCUACAGGAUUCAUAUCCCGUAGAUGACUUGGAUGCAUGGCUUGGUAAGCACAUUAAUUCUAGAGAUAAAAAUUGGCAUACUACUUUUGGUUUUACCAUUCG
rnacentral:lncRNA from 1 species